UACGUAUGGAGCAAGCGUUGUCCGGAUUUACUGGGCGUAAAGGGCACGCAGGCGGUGAGAUAAGUCAGGUGUGAAAGUUUUCGGCUCAACCGGAAAAGUGCACUUGAAACUGUCCCACUUGAGUAUCGGAGAGGUAAGCGGAAUUCCUAGUGUAGCGGUGAAAUGCGUAGAGAUUAGGAAGAACACCGGUGGCGAAGGCGGCUUACUGGACGAUUACUGACGCUCAUGUGCGAAAGCGUGGGGAG
rnacentral:rRNA from 1 species